rnacentral:lncRNA from 1 species
UUGUUAAAUGAAAGUAGGUGUGAAAGAAAUUUUUAUGAUUAUGGGUACAAUGUGUCCCUGAGCACAUGAUUUAUGUGUACAUUGGCAGCAAGUUCAAUAGUUUUAGAUAUGUACUAUUUCUGCACACCAAGAAGCUGUGAUAGUGCAUUGUCAUAGAGCAUUAUAACCCUACACAUUCAUCAGUUUACACUUAUGCACUUAUCUACUUUUUGAGGCACUUGCAGAACUCCCAUGUUCUCACUCUGAAUCUUUAAAAGGGCUAUUUACAACUACUACUAACCACUCUAUUCAAUGUUUCCUCAUUCAAUUUCAUUACAAAAGAAAAUGUGAGAAAAAGAAAAUGUGAGAGAGAAACAAAAUUGUUCCGACUAGGAAGAUGGGAUGGGACCUAGAGAAAUGUUGACUGACUUCGUCUUUUUUCUUUCUAUUGGUCGUUCAGCUCGCAUUUCAGCCUACUCCUUCAGUCUUCGUAUUACUCUUUUAGGUCUCGAUCGCCUGAUCGCUCAGUCUCUGAGAAGAAUGCCGAAUGGGGGUACCUGCAGAAGGCACUCCGACGCUCAAGUCAGCAAAGGGCGUUCGGCAUUCAGAAGUGUACAGUCAUUAAGUCAUUAAUGAUGUACCUUGUUUCUUGGAAUAUGCGCUAUUUAUAUUAUUUUAAUGGGCUUACCUUAUUAGGCUGAAUUAGUGAGGUCGAUCGUACUUAGAGGUGUAUUACCUAAUUCGUAAUGAUGGUUUAACUUUGCUAACAUUGAUUUAAGCGUUAAUAGACCAAAGGUGUCGAUCAUCCUGCAUGAUCGUGUAUCGUUCGGUCGACUCGGCUGUGGAAGCAUCUGGUGCUGACUGUUCGGUCCAUACUGCUACACAUAUGACGUGUUUAUAUAAUCAUAUGAUGCAUUACCUAAUGAUAAGUUUUUUUUUUUUAAAAAAAGAAAUUUUUUUAGUUACUUUACUGAUUCCCUUUUAUCAUUAAUGGAUGAUGUAUUUUUUUAUCUUUUAGUUUGUUUAUCAAUUAAUUUUUAUUAUUAAUAAAUAAAUUUUAAAUUCUUAUUUAAUUAGUUAUUGAUAUUUUAAUUAUUAUUUUUUUAAAAAUAAAUAAUUUGUUAUUAAAAUAUUGAUAGUUAAUUAGAUAUUAAUUUAAAAAUUAUUUAUUAAUAAUAAAAACUAAUUUAGAUAUUAGUAAAUUUUUUAAGUCUCUAAAAUAGUAUAUAACAACUAAUUAUUUUUUUUUUAAUAUUAAUUUUUAUUUAAUAAUUUAUUAGCAAUAUUUAAUAAAAAAAUAAAGAAAUUAAUCUGACAAAUUAAAGAAAUUGAAGAAGAGAAAUGGAGUUGAUUAACGAAUUACAAAUGAAAAAAAGAACUAGUGAUAAGUCUAGUUGACAAUAAAAUCAAACUACAAAUUCUUAAACGAAAAUAAAAAGUAUUUUAAACACUCACUCAAAUAAAAAAUUUAAAGACUUAAUUAAAAAUACCUAUAUUUAUAAAAUUUAUAAGCAUAUAUUAUAUAUGAAAACUUAAGAGUUAUAUACUAGAAUUUUGAAAAAGAAAAUGUGUGUAUCAGCCUAAUAAUUUUUCCUUCAAAAAAAGGAAAAUUUAUAACACGAUUAUUGUGAGCGUUUCAUUUUUACUUUGCAUAUUACACAAUUUAUUUUAAAUAUACCUAUGUUGUUGGAAUAAAUUUUAUAGGUGUAAAAAAUUUGAAAGUUCCAAAUAUAUAAAAUAUAUUAAUUUUAAAAAAAAACUAUUUACAUAUAAAUUUGUAAAUAUGAAAGAAAAAAUGUUGGGAGGCCGAUACACAAAUUGUGGAAGACAGAAAAAUUGUAGGGAAAGUCUGAAAAACAAAAAAUAAAAUAUUAAUGAAACACAAAAAAAUGGAUGCAUAAUAGUUUUUUGUUUUAGUUUGAGUUUUUUAAUUGUAAUUUAAUUUUAAAAAUUUAAUGUUAUAUUAAAUUACGUUAAAAAUAAAAAAAAAACUAAUUACUUAUCUGUUGAAGUAUAUAUAAAAAUUUAAGUUCAUUGUAAGAAGUGCAGACAUCUGUUUUUUUUUAAAAAAUUAAAUUGGUGUAAUAAAUAUUUAUAUUAAAACGGAAGAAAAAUAAUUUGAUGUAAUUAGAAUCCAUUAAUUGCAUUUAUUAAUAACGUAAAAUGGAUGCAGAAUUCAAGCAUAUUGGAUGAUGUUACAUUCUUUAUACUAUUAAUAAAUACAUUUAAUGAAUUUCAUUACGGAUACAAUACAAUGAUAACGAAUUUAAAAAUAAUUAAAGUAAGAUCAAAAUUAAUUAUUUUUAUUAUUAUUAUAUUCAUAUUUUUUUUAUAAAGAAAUAAAACCAAAUGAUAUAAAAGGAUAACAACUAAAUCAAAAUAAAAAAAAGAGUUAAAAACUAUAAUUUUUUUAAAGUGAGAUGAAGAUAUGAAAAAAAUUAAAUUAUUUUAUUGUAAGAACUAUUUUACGUUUUCCACCUUUUAUAAACUCUUUUGUUCCACUUUGACAAACUACUUCAUAUUUAAAAUUUAAAAUUAAUAACUGCUUAUUUAAAAUUUAAAAUUAAUAACUACUUUUUACAAAAUAACAGUAUAUUAAUAUUAAAAAUAAAAUAAAAAAGCAGUUUUCAAUUAAUUAUUUAGUACAUACUUAAAAAUAGAAAAUGACUGAAACAUAAAAAAUAAAAUAAUAAAAUAAAAUAGAUUUUUUUUUUUUAAAAAACAGUUAUAAUGGAGUUCUUUUAUAUAGGUAUAAAUAUAGAUUAUUAACUAUAAUUUAUAUUAUUUUUUAGUUUAUUCGCUAAUGGUAUAGGGGAGUAGUUAUACAUUUUUAUAUUAAUCUUAAUAAAUUUAUGUGUAUUUUAUUAAUUUUUUAUUAUUUUACUUCAUUUCUCUUUAUAUAUUUUUAUUAUUUAAUUUAUUUCUAAUAGUUUUUUUAUUUAAUUUUUUAUUAUGUGGUUUACUUCAAGAUAUAUAUUAGUGCUUUUUAUUUUAAUUUUUGUUCUUAUUAUUUAUUUUCCUUCUAAUAAUAUGCUAAUCUUUUUUAUUUUUUUAUGUUUCUAUUGUUUAAUUUACUUCUUCAAAUAUAUUGAUUCUUUUAUUCUACUAAGUUCUUUUUAUUUGAUUAUUUACUAGUUAAAUAUUUUUCUAAUUCCAUAAUUUAUAUACUUUUUAUUUAAUUUAUCCCAGUCAUAUUCUAGUGCAUUUCUUUUAUGUUUCCUUUAUUUAAAAUUAUUUCCUACUACAUAUUAGUCCACACUCAAUUACUCAAUUAAAAGUUCUUGCUUUAAUUCUUAUUUUAUUUAAUUUCUUUUAUUAUAUAAAACAGUUUAAAUAUUAUUUUCUAUUCAACACAUUCAUAUAAAGAAAGAAUAUAAAAAAUAAAUAAGUCUUAAUUCAACAAAUUUUAUUAGAUAGAAGUUACCUAUAUAUUUAUAUUAUCUUUAUACUUUAUUACAAAGAAUAAAUAUAGUAAAGAUAAUUUUAAAGUAUAUACAUAACUUUUUGUCUAAACUUUUUGAAUUAAAAAUUUAUUUACUUUUGAUCUUCGUUUUAUAUAAAAUAAUAAUAAAAAAUAAUAUCUAAAUAUUUUACCUAAAACAAAAGAAAAAAAAAAUAAGAAUUAAAGCAAGAACUUUAAAUGGAUAAAUUGGAUGUGGACCCAUAUAUCAUAAGAAAUAAUUUUAAAUAAGAGAAACAUAAAAGAAAUGGACAAAUAUAUCAUUCGGGACAAAUUAAAUAUAAAAACAUAAAUAAAAUAAGGAAUUGAAAUCACUUGUAAAUAAUAAAAUAAUAACAUAAAAGAAUAAAAUGACCAAUAUAUUACUGAAAGUAAACUAAAUGAUAAAAUCAUAAAAAAUAAAAAGGAUCCGCAUAUUAUUAAAAAGAAAACAAAUAAUAAGAAGAAAAAUUAAAACAAAAAAGACUAGUAAAUAAGUGAAAGUAAAUUUAAUAAUAGAAAUAUAAAAUAAUAAAAUGGACAAGUGUGUCUCAAAAUAUUUUAAAUCAUAGAAAUAUAAAACUUAAAUUAAAUUGAAUAAUCAAAAUGCAAAAAUGAGAAGAAGAAUGCAGAUGAACUAUUACAAAUAAACCAAAUGAUAGAAGCAAAAAUAAAUAUAAAAUAUUAUAAGGCUCAAAAUAAAUAAAAAGUUAAUAAGAUACAUAUAUGUGUAUAAAGAUUAAUAUAAGAAAAAUUUCUAACCUCACUUUUCCCUUACCUUUUAGUGAUGAAACUUAGAAGGAGAAUAGAUAGAGAGAAAGAAAGAGAUGAAAGGAAACACAAGAAGUAGA